rnacentral:rRNA from 1 species
AUACCUUAGCGGCGAAUGGGUGAGUAACACGUACUCAACGUACCCUUCAGUUUGGGAUAGCGGUUGGAAACAACCGAUAAUACCAAAUACCCGUAUUUUCGCAUGAGAGAUACGUAAAAGAUGCGUUGCAUCGCUGGAGGAGCGGGGUGCGCAACAUUAGCUAGUUGGUGAGGUAACGGCCCACCAAGGCGAUGAUGUUUAGCGGGGUUGAGAGACUGAUCCGCCACACUGGGACUGAGAUACGGCCCAGACUCCUACGGGAGGCAGCAGUAGGGAAUAUUCCACAAUGGGCGAAAGCCUGAUGGAGCGACACAGCGUGCAGGAUGAAGGUCCUUGGAUUGUAAACUGCUGUGGCAAAGGAAGAAAAAGCAGAAUAGGAAAUGAUUUUGCCUUGACGGUACUUUGCUAGAAAGCAACGGCUAACUAUGUGCCAGCAGCCGCGGUAAUACAUAGGUUGCAAGCGUUAUCCGGAAUUAUUGGGCGUAAAGCGUCUGUAGGUUGUUUGUUAAGUCUGGCGUUAAAACUUGGGGCUCAACCCCAAAUCGCGUUGGAUACUGGCAGACUAGAGUUAUGUAGAGGUUAGCGGAAUUCCUUGUGAAGCGGUGAAAUGCGUAGAUAUAAGGAAGAACACCAACAUGGCGAAGGCAGCUAACUGGACAUACACUGACACUGAGAGACGAAAGCGUGGGGAGCAAACAGGAUUAGAUACCCUGGUAGUCCACGCCCUAAACGAUGAUCAUUAGCUGAUGGAAAAUUCAUCGGCGCAGCUAACGCAUUAAAUGAUCCGCCUGAGUAGUACGUUCGCAAGAAUAAAACUUAAAGGAAUUGACGGGGAUCCGCACAAGCGGUGGAGCAUGUGGUUUAAUUUGAAGAUACGCGUAGAACCUUACCCACUCUUGACAUCUU